rnacentral:lncRNA from 1 species
AUCCUUAGAAUCCUGCCUGCCACAUUAACGAAGUUGCCUGAAUUUGCCCAGUGAGAGAGCUGGGAGGCAGGAGUUUGGAACUCAGUCUGUCUUGCAUGAAAGGCUCUGCCUUUUCCAUCUGCCAGGCUGCCCCUCUACAGAAAUGAGGGGUGGGAAAUAUCCAAAGAGAAUGUCCUAGAGGGCAAGCACCAUCCCAACUCCUAACCUAGAGGCAUAUCAUUUAAAUAACUCUUAUAUUUAAAAUUGUGGAUUCAAUGUUUUAAAAUUGCGCAUCAAAAUAAUACUGGCUCCUUCCAAAAUGCCGCCACCAGAGAGAUGGUAUGCGUGUGGGCUACAUAGAAAGAUCUGGAUAAAUUCCAAGAGCUACCGCUUACUCAGAAAUCCUAAGCUUCAGUUUCUGCCCUGUAAAAUAGGAGCAAUAAUAGUAUCUUACAGUUGCAUGGAGAGGCUGAAACACUGACACUUCCGUAAUGUUUAUCACAGUUCCUGGGACACUGUAAGCAUUCAGUUGCUAAUAACCACCCUCACUGUCAUCACUGUCAUCAUCAUUACGUUGUCAUCAUCUGCAGCCAUCAGCCCAGAUGGCAACUAUGUACUAAACGUAUUAUGAAAUAUUUACAGUUUCAUAUCAGUAACAUAGAAAAUCAAUCAUGCUUGUUUAUCAUAUGAGCAGGAAAUGUUAUUAUGUCUAUAAUCUCCUUUUUAGCUUGUAUUUGCCUCUGAAAUCUCAACUUCAGAUUAGUCAAUGCAAUUUUUUGGUCUCUUGGAGACUCAGAAAAGCGGAGGAUGUGCUUUCUCUGCUUUUUCGAUAAUCGAGAGUUUGUCCACUUGGUUCUGAUUCUGCCGGUAACUUAAAUGGAUAGAAAUUUCCUCUCAUAGCUCAUGAGGCUUAGUGUCACUUUCAGAGCCCUCCUCUCACCUUGCCCUUCUCCUUUCCUUUGUUGAUCUAAGACCCACUAUUGGAAGGUCUCUGACACAUGGUUCAUUUUACUUUUGCUCCAGACUGGAGCUUGGUGUAAACAAGAAACUUAUUUUUAGUUUUUUGCUCUGCAUUUUCUUCAGAGCUUUCUUUUCUGCAUUUUCACCACAUUCCUAAGCUUCUGUUAAGCCAACUUUUUCAGUGUGAGAAAAAUAAAUGUCACAGAACGAAGACGUUGUGGCACCCAACAGAAGUGCCAGUUGAGUCCUCUGUGGGAGGGAGCUUGAGACCCUGGGUGUUUUAAGCAGAAAUUUGAAUGAAGGCGUAUGAAGACGAAGAUAGCAGGAGGAACCCCAAGACCGUUUGUAAGCAACGUAUGCUAAAGAAAAUGUGGGGCUCCCCAGACCUCAGUUAGGAUGGAGGGUGUGGUUGGGAGAGGCCACCACGGGGCAGCCACCAUCGUCCCAACUGCUGGAGAAAUCAGCAAUGGCAUGAUUUGCUCCGUGCUACAAACAUGUCACAGUUGGCGCCAGAGUCAGAACUUUGAUUCUGAUCACCUUGUGCAGAUGCCAUGUGUCAUUAAAACGCAAGAAGAGAGGAGUUUCUAAUUUGCAUUUUUUUUUGAAAUCCUCCUGCUCUUGCUGCUUUCUUUCAACACCUCAGCUAGCCACCUGGGACCUCCUUUAAAAAGGUCACACGCCUCUUUGGCUUUACCUGUGUUAACCUUUUAGCUUCCUCGUUGUCUAAAAGAGUGUUUCUCAACUGCGGUGCUCUUGCCAUUUGGGGUAGUUACUUGCUGCUCCUUCAGCACAAACUCUACCUGAAGGCUGAUUACUGGGAGCUCCUGAAGCUCUGCUGCAGAUGGCUUCUUUUUUUUUUUCCUCCUGAGAAUGGAAAGUUCUGUGGAGUUAAUGGCUAUGAAACCAUCCCUCAGCCAGUGAGGGCUGGGGCGUUGGGAAGUGGCUCCAGCUUCCUAGGCCCCCAAACAGGACCAUUCUGCCUCCCAGCAUGCCCCAGUGUCCGCAGAAGCAACUGGUUUGAUCACAUACCUCUGCUGAUUUCUUGCCCUGCUCUGACUCACCUCCCAAAUACACUGUUUACACUCGGAUCUGAGUCUGAGGGUCCACUUGCAGGGGAACCCAAACCAAGACGCUGUGUUCCAAACAUGGCAAUUCAAUAUGUUUGGGGAACUCUUGAGCUAAUUCGCCGAGAUUUGCCCAAGCAAUGCUGCGGAUCGCUGUUGUCACCAAGUGCUCCGAGGCCUGCGUGCUGGGUGGGCCAGACUGCGCGGGCACGGGUGUGCACCCAUGUGUGAUGUGUGUGUCUGUGAUGAUGCGGACAUUGUUGUUUCUCGCGGAUUUGUUCUGAGGAAGGCUUUUGGGAAUUGUGUUUUCCCACAAGUUCCACAAAUGUUUCCACAUUUUAGAAAUUGUUUGAGCAUGCUCUAAGCCAUGACUUUGAAAGUCAAACAGUUUGGCUGGUGAUAUUAUUUUUAAAGAAACAAAAACAGUUUUGUUUUGUUUUAAAUUUUGGCUUUUGUUAUGCUCUGCAAUCUUUUUCUGCUCAAAAGGCCGUAACUUCCUUUGUUUAGUGCAGGGCUUUGCAGAGGGCUCAUGGAGGUAUUUCAUAGACAUUUUUUGUAUGGCGGUGAUUGCAAUGAAUUUUUACUGCUAAUAAUUUACAUUCUAAAGCUCUUAUCCAUAUACUAUUUCACUUAAUCCGCCCACGAAGCCUGAAUAAUAGGAUUAAAAUCACAGUUUAAUGAAAGAGGAAACCAAGUUCCAAAGAGUUGAAGCAAGUUUCUCUUUAGCACCUUAUCUAGUUCUGAAUUAACAUAAAACUUUCAUUAAUGUGAUCAGCAGUCUGCAAAGACACAAAGGGGGAAAAUGUAAUCUUAAGGGAAGCAUGACACACGUUGGGAACGCUGUAAGAUUUGGGGAGCUUGGAGAUGAAAGGACAUAGACCUCAGCAAUGACCCUAGAUCUUGUCUUCCUUUAUAUUUUUAAUUGGCUCUAGUCUCAUGUAGCCAAUGAGAAGCACCGGAGGGAGAAGCAAGCACUGUUUGCCAGCCUGCUUUGAUAUAAUUGAUGCUAGUGAGUCAGAGACCAAAGCAACACUUUCCCAGGUGCUUUUCUCAUCUCCUCGACAUCUCCUUCAUUAUUGCCUUCAGUCUCCAGUGGCUUCUCAGCACCGUUAAAGCUAUAGGCCAUCUUUUCUGCAUCACCAGCCAGGAGGGCACAGCAGGCACCCCCGUAUUGGUUUAUACGCUCUCUUGCUUGCACUAAAUUUGUACCUGGAGUGAAGAGGAAGUGCAUCACUCUUUCAAAUAUCAACAUUGGAUUUUGAGGUCGGGUCCAAAGCUAGCAGAGUCUGUUCCUUCCAGUAAUUCGACUCUUGCCGCUGAUAUCCAGCUCUGAAUCAGAGUCCCCACUGGCUAUUGUUAUCCCCAAUGUUGAGCUUAAUCUUAUUUCUCGGACCUUUGCCUGUUACCCACUGUUGGUACCCAAGUUACUCCUAUGGAACUCACUUAACUCACUCUGGCCCUUCCCCAACAGUGAACCCCACUUAUGACUAAUCCAUUCUGCACUAACCAGGGUUCAGCUGGGAAAACAGAAAACGCUUAGAUAUUUUUUUAAAGAAAUGGAUUUAAUACAGGAGUUAGAGGCUUACUAAAACAUGGAAAAGGACUGGACCUAGCAUUCUAGAAAUUAGGAAGAUAGUCACAUUAAAGAAAGAACCCCUGGUGAUCUCAGCUACCUGCUGUACCUCGAAGCACCUGGCAGCACCUCUGUUUGGCAUCUACCAAAGCCCACGUGCCUGCUUGCCGCUACCCUAGUGGGCUUUGGCUUCUAUUCUGCCUCGUGAGUGUGUUUCCUUUGUGUGACCUCACUGUGAACUGUCAUGGUGGGGGGGUGGUCUGGAAAAUGUAGCUCCCAGACUUCUAGCCCCUGGGGUACAGGGAACAGCAUAAAAGAAGAAACGUUGUACUGAGUAGCUGACUGAUAGUUCAAGCCACAUCCUGCCUCUGGGAAUUUUCGGAAGCUGAUUUGUGAGCCUGGGGCAUUCAAAGAAGAGGCUGUUACUUCUCUAAAAUCAAAGGUAUUACGGGGAAACUAUUUAUGAUCUGGGACAGGCCAACAGAAAAAAGGGAGAAGCAGCAACUGGAGAUGUGGUGGCCAUCACAAUUGAAGAGUCCGUAGCAGUUGUAAUAGUUGAUGAUGUGAAAUAGGGAGAUGCUCAUGCUUCAAGCAGAGCUACCGGGAAAAUUGGGCAACUUUGUACCCGUGUCCUUACUAUGCAUGGUAUAGUUGUAAUGCGCAAUUUCCUUACUUUCUGGUAAAAUCGCUUAUGCAAUUUAAUCGACUGGCUGGGUGUCUCUUCUACUCUUUUAUUCUGAGGUCAGAGCCUUGGAUCAGUCUGCUCCUCCAGAGACAGGCUUUGGAGAAAUUCUCCAGGAGGCAGUGGGAAUUGGCCAUUGGGAAUUGGUCAUUUCCGGACACCUGCUCCAUCCAACCAAUCCUACAGGCCAUGACACCUGGCCAGGAGGGAUAGAACCACUGUUUUUAGUGGUAUAUUCUACUUGUCAUCUGAUUCACAGCAUUUGCUUCCAGAAGCUGUGCUUUUUGGCCUAGGUACAAGACUCCAAGGCUGAAGCAUCCAUGAAAUUGACCUAAUGUUGUUUAAAAAUGUUGCUGCAUGGUAUAAGUGCCAACAGUCGGACUUAUUCCUCAUAGUACGCUGGUAGUCGGUUUUCUGUUCCUCACAAUGUAAAGUAGUCUUUGUACCUUCACGAUUAGGUUUUUGUGAAGGAGUUUUACUCUAUUUAGAUUAAUUAAUAAAAAGCAUCGAACUAUGAUGUGUUUGUUUUUUUCUGGAGAACACACUAAAAGCCAGAACUCUGUAAAAACAAAUUGUUCUUUUGGAAAACCAAAUAAAAGGUACUGUACCUAAGCAUCUAGGGACUCUUGAUUUAAUCCAACUAAACAUUAACUUCAGAUGUUGUUAAUGCCUUGAUACCUAAUACUUCUCUAUUUUAAUAGCACAUUUGUACUUGAAUUAUAAUCACUGUUAUUCUGAAGAUUUUAAACACUCCUGAUUGAGAAGUACUUCACAGAUAUCUAUCUAUCUAUCUAUCUAUCUAUCUAUCUAUCUAUCUAUAUAUAAUAUUGAAAUUUUGUUUCGUUGAUAAGGAUUAGAAAGCAAACCAAAAGGCAUACAACUUAAUAAUGAAAGUAUUACAACUUAAGAUACAGGUCAUUAACUUGGAAGCUGUAUUUUUUCCUCUCUCUAUAUACUGAAGAUGUCCCUUCGUGUUUUCUUGUCUCUCCUUUCUAUCUUUCAUUUUAUGUAUUUUUUUCUUGGAGUAAAAGCACCUUUUAUGCAUCAUAUGAUUUUUUUUCAUUGACAAUGAUAGGAAAGCAUGUAAGCAAAGUUUUUGUUAAGAGAGUAGGUUUGGGGGCUGCACCUGACUCUUUGUGACCUUUAAAACGUGAUGUCUUCAACCUUUAGACUAAUAUAAAGAUGAUAAGUGAAAACUCAGAAUGCCUAGAGACAUGUUAUGGAAAAGGAGGCCUGCAAGAAAUAAUUCCAAGCUAAUCAACAAUAACUUACCAAAGGAUAUUAUCUUUUAGUUGUAGGAGAAACCGAGAAUACCAAAUUUGUUCCAGAAUUUCACUUCACCUUGACCUAAUGUGUAAACGUAGAUGUGAAUUUCGGCCAAUUCCUUCUGGACUUAAGUUGUGAUGUGAAAUUAGAGAUUGGUAGUUGUAAUCAAGUUGCUAAUUAUUACAAAUUAGGAAUACGUGCAAAGUAUGUUUUCAGUCUUUGUAUAAGUGCAUUAUUGUUCUGGCUCAUGGGAGUUUCUCUCUGGUUAACAGUGGGGCUGUAUUUAUUUGUGUGUGCAAGCAUGUAGGAAAGGGGAGAACCGCUUAGCCUUCUUUGAUAAUGUGCUUCUGAUUAUAUACAUCUUGAGGGAUUUCAUAAAACUGAAAAUCGGCUGGGAAGCACAAUAUUACUCGAUUUUUUUCAAGGCACAUUUCUGCAACGCCUGCUCUAUUACCCACGUUAUUUGUAUACCUGAACAUCUUUAUUAUUGUUAAAUGGGGCUCCCUUGUGAUAUUUUUUUAAAUACGUGGAUAUUCCAACUCUUGGCUCACUUAUUUACAGUUGGUAACUAAUUUCUUCAAGGAAUUUUAAUAUGGAAACUCCUUCAAAAAUAUACUCUUUUCAUAUCCUUUUUGUUUUCUUAGGAGUUUCUAAUGGAAGAGUAUUUCGUUCUCUCUUCCUUCUCUCUUUUCAGCUCAGUCUCUUAAAAAUGAUGUUCAUAUUUGCUCAUAAGGGUCCAUUUAUCCCAGGUGCUCAAUGAUCAUUAUGUUGUGAUUUUUACUUGUUGUGGCUUUUCUCACCAAAGCAGAAAUCAGUCAGUUCCAUACACAUGGCAUAUAAAUUUCACAAUUAGGCAAUUAAAUUAGAAAUGUGACAGUUGGCGUAUGUUCAAAGUAAUAAAGUU